rnacentral:rRNA from 1 species
UACGUAGGGGGCAAGCAUUGUCCGGAAUCAUUGGGCGUAAAGAGCGUGUAGGUGGCUCGGUAAGUCCGCUGUAAAAGUCCAGGGCUCAACCCUGGAAAGCCGGUGGAAACUGUCGAGCUAGAGUCCGGAAGAGGCGAGUGGAAUUCCUGGUGUAGCGGUGAAAUGCGCAGAUAUCAGGAGGAACACCAAUGGCGAAGGCAGCUCGCUGGGACGGUACUGACACUGAGACGCGAAAGCGUGGGGAGCAAACAGG